AAGACCUUGCGCUUUUGGAGCGGCCGAUGUCUGAUUAGCUAGUUGGUAGGGUAAUGGCCUACCAAAGCUUCGAUCAGUAGCUGGUCUGAGAGGACGACCAGCCACACUGGGACUGAGACACGGCCCAGACUCCUACGGGAGGCAGCAGUGGGGAAUUUUGGACAAUGGGCGUAAGCCUGAUCCAGCCAUGCCGCGUGAGUGAAGAAGGCCUUCGGGUUGUAAAGCUCUUUCAGCCGGGAAGAAAAGGCUACGACGAAUAAUCGUAGCUCAUGACGGUACCGGAAGAAGAAGCACCGGCUAACUACGUGCCAGCAGCCGCGGUAAUACGUAGGGUGCGAGCGUUAAUCGGAAUUACUGGGCGUAAAGGGUGCGCAGGCGGUUUUGUAAGUCAGAUGUGAAAUCCCCGGGCUUAACCUGGGAACU
rnacentral:rRNA from 1 species